GCCAGGCGAGGUGGUGCAUGUCUGUCAUCCAGCAGCUCAGGAGGCUGAGGCAGGAGGAUCGCAAGAUGGAGGCCAGCCUCAGCCACUUAGCAAAGCCCUAACUAAACAACUCAGCGAGACCCUGUCUCUA
rnacentral:sRNA from 1 species